AGAGCGAACGCUGGCGGCGUACUUAACACAUGCAAGUCGAACGAGGAUCAUCGGGUUAGCAAUAAUUCGGUGGUCCUAGUGGCGCACGGGUGAGUAACACGUGGGUGACCUGCCCUUGAGCUCGGGAUACCCCCUCGAAAGGGGGGCUAAUACCGGAUACGUUCCUCGGUCGAAAGACUGAGGAGGAAAGGUGGCGCAAGCUGCCGCUCUUGGAGGGGCUCGCGGCCUAUCAGCUAGUUGGCGGGGUAACGGCCCACCAAGGCUAUGACGGGUAGCUGGUCUGAGAGGACGACCAGCCACACGGGGACUGAGACACGGCCCCGACUCCUACGGGAGGCAGCAGUGGGGAAUUUUCCGCAAUGGGCGAAAGCCUGACGGAGUGACGCCGCGUGUGGGACGAAGGCCUUCGGGUCGUAAACCACUGUCAGUGGGAAAGAUGGGUGUCGGCGCUAAUACCGCUGGCAUUUGACGGUACCUGCAGAGGAAGCCCCGGCCAACUCUGUGCCAGCAGCCGCGGUAAGACAGAGGGGGCAAGCGUUGCUCGGAAUUACUGGGCGUAAAGGGCGCGUAGGCGGGAUGGCAAGUCGGUCGUGAAAUCCCUCGGCUCAACCGAGGAACGUCGAUCGAUACUGCUGUUCUUGAGGAUUACAGAGGAGACUGGAAUUCCCGGUGUAGCGGUGAAAUGUGUAGAGAUCGGGAGGAACACCGGUGGCGAAGGCGGGUCUCUGGGCAAUUCCUGACGCUGAGGCGCGAAAGCGUGGGGAGCAAACGGGAUUAGAUACCCCGGUAGUCCACGCUGUAAACGAUGAGCACUAGGUGUGGGGGGGUUCAGUCCCUUCCGUGCCGCAGCUAACGCAUUAAGUGCUCC
rnacentral:rRNA from 1 species